rnacentral:misc_RNA from 1 species
UCCUGGUUAACCCAGGCAGUCUCACUAGAGUUCCCACCCUAAGUGUUGGCAACUAGUGAUAAGGGUUGCGCUCGUUGCUGGACUUAACCAAACACCUCACGGCACGAGCUGACGACAGCCAUGCAGCACCUGUGUCCCUGUCCUUUCGGAAGGCGACAUUUCUGCCGCUGUCAGGGACAUUUCAAACCUGGGUAAGGUUCUUCGCGUAGCAUCGAAUUAAACCACAUGCUCCACUGCUUGUGCGGGCCCCCGUCAAUUCUUUUAAGUUUCACCCUUGCGAGCGUACUCCCCAGGCGGUACACUUAACGCGUUAGCUACGACACAACUGGGGUUGAGACCAGUUACAUCAAGUGUACAUUGUUUACGGCGAGGACUAC